CCCGUCACAUCAUGAAAGCCGGUUGUACCCGAAGUCCGCAAGCAAACUCGCAAGAGCGGGGGGCAGCGGCCGAAGGUAUGGCUGGUGAUUGGGAUG
rnacentral:rRNA from 1 species